GAUGAACGCUGGCGGCGUGCCUAAUACAUGCAAGUCGGGCGAACAGAUAAGGAGCUUGCUCCUUUGACGUUAGCGGCGGACGGGUGAGUAACACGUGGGUAACCUACCUAUAAGACUGGGAUAACUUCGGGAAACCGGAGCUAAUACCGGAUAACAUUUGGAACCGCAUGGUUCUAAAGUGAAAGAUGGUUUUGCUAUCACUUAUAGAUGGACCCGCGCCGUAUUAGCUAGUUGGUAAGGUAACGGCUUACCAAGGCAACGAUACGUAGCCGACCUGAGAGGGUGGCCCGCCACCCUGGACUCGACCCCCGUUCCAGCCCCCUGCGGGGGGCCCAGGUGGGGAUUCUUCCGCAAUGGGCGAAAGCCUGCCGGAGCACCGCAGCGGGGGUGAUGAAGGUUUUCGGCUCGUAAACCUCUUUUUUUAGGGAAAAAAAAACGUGUAAUUAACUGGGCCCGUUUUGGCGGUACCUAAACAAAAAGCCCCCCCUAACUACGU
rnacentral:rRNA from 1 species